CGGUGGAUGCCUUGGCACUAGAAGCCGAUGAAGGACGUUACUAACGACGAUAUGCUUUGGGGAGCUGUAAGUAAGCUUUGAUCCAGAGAUUUCCGAAUGGGGAAACCCAGCAUGAGUUAUGUCAUGUUAUCGAUAUGUGAAUACAUAGCAUAUCAGAAGGCACACCCGGAGAACUGAAACAUCUUAGUACCCGGAGGAAGAGAAAGAAAAUUCGAUUCCCUUAGUAGCGGCGAGCGAAACGGGA
rnacentral:rRNA from 1 species